rnacentral:rRNA from 1 species
AGUGAACGCUGGCGGUAGGCCUAACACAUGCAAGUCGAACGGCAGCACAGUAAGAGCUUGCUCUUACGGGUGGCGAGUGGCGGACGGGUGAGGAAUACAUCGGAAUCUACUUUUUCGUGGGGGAUCACGUAGGGAAACUUACGCUAAUACCGCAUACGACCUACGGGUGAAAGCAGGGGAUCUUCGGACCUUGCGCGAUUGAAUGAGCCGAUGUCGGAUUAGCUAGUUGGCGGGGUAAAGGCCCACCAAGGCGACGAUCCGUAGCUGGUCUGAGAGGAUGAUCAGCCACACUGGAACUGAGACACGGUCCAGACUCCUACGGGAGGCAGCAGUGGGGAAUAGUGGACAAUGGGCGCAAGCCUGAUCCAGCCAUACCGAGUGGGUGAAGAAGGCCUUCGGGUUGUAAAGCCCUUUUGUUGGGAAAGAAAAGCAGCAGGUUAAUACCCCGCUGUUCUGACGGUACCCAAAGAAUAAGCACCGGCUAACUUCGUG